UUUAGUCUACUAAAAUAAAUAAAUUAAUGAAUAAAUUUAAAAAAAGAAAAUGAACCCUUUUCCACCUCUGACAUCCUGCUCAGGGCCAGGGUUACUGUGGGGAUGGACAGUGAAUUUUGGGGCAGAGCCUAUCCAAGCUCCAGGCUGCUGCAUGCCACCUUGCCAAGUGCCCAAAGACACCCUCAGAACAGCAGGGCAGCUUUGAGGAGCCUGAAAGAUUCACAGAUGCUCCAAGGAGAUUACAAUGAAGAGUUUUCCUUAUGUCUCAGACACGCCUUUGGACUUUUAAGUAGUGUUGAGACUGAAAGACUACGGGGAGUUUUGAUGUUAGAAUAAAAGUAUUUGCAUUAU